rnacentral:rRNA from 1 species
UAUUGCGCAAUGGAGGAAACUCUGACGCAGUGACGCCGCGUAUAGGAAGAAGGUUUUCGGAUUGUAAACUAUUGUCAUUAGGGAAGAAAAAAGACAGUACCUAAAGAGGAAGCUCCGGCUAACUACGUGCCAGCAGCCGCGGUAAUACGUAGGGAGCAAGCGUUAUCCGGAAUUAUUGGGUGUAAAGGGUGCGUAGACGGGAAAAUAAGUUAGUUGUGAAAUCCCUCGGCUCAACUGAGGAACUGCAACUAAAACUGUAAUUCUUGAGUGCAGGAGAGGAAAGUGGAAUUCCUAGUGUAGCGGUGAAAUGCGUAGAUAUUAGGAGGAACACCAGUGGCGAAGGCGGCCUGCUGGACUGUAACUGACGUUGAGGCUCGAAGGCGUGGGGAGCAAACAGG